CUGGGUUCAGAGUACCGAGAGAGGCCACUGGUGUGACAGCUCACCUCACCUGGAGCCCUGGACUUGAACUGGGGUGGGGUUGACUCCGGCCUCUUUGCUUUAGUUUAUGUUCUCUAACGAGGAAGGCAGAAGGCUAGCUGCCCAGGUGUGAGUGCAUCUCACUUAGUCUGGUUCUACUUCUGGGUUUUUAGGCUGUUACAGAAGAAAAUAAAUAUGCCUGUGACUCGGAUGCUGCCCUUAAAUCCUCAAGCCUGCCAUGGCCUGAGGUGGUGACAUGCUUCUUGUCCCUGCUUGUCUUCAUCUCAUCCUCCUCUUCCUCCUGUUUCUUCCUUCUUCCUCUUCUUCCUUCCUUUCCUUUAUCCUCUUCUUCCUCUUCCUUCUCUUCUUCCUCCUCUUCCUACCUUACCCUUCUUACCUCUCCUUCCUCCUUUUCUUCCUUCACUACUCACUUCUUU
rnacentral:lncRNA from 1 species